rnacentral:rRNA from 1 species
GAGUUUGAUCAUGGCUCAGAACGUACGCUGGCGGCACGCCUAACACAUGCAAGUCGAACGAAGUAGCAAUACUUAGUGGCAGACGGGUGAGUAACAUGUAGGUAUCUGCCCUUUGGCCUGGAAUAACACGAGGAAACUUGUGCUAAUACCGGAUAAGUCUUUACGGAGAAAGCUUUAUGCACCAUUGGAUGAGCCUGCACUUGAUUAGUUUGUUGGUGGGGUAAUGGCCUACCAAGACUGUGAUCAAUAGCUGAUUUGAGAGGAUGAUCAGCCACAUUGGGACUGAGACACGGCCCAAACUCCUACGGGAGGCAGCAGUGGGGAAUCUUGCACAAUGGAGGAAACUCUGAUGCAGCGAUGCCGCGUGAGUGAAGAAGGCCUUUGGGUUGUAAAGCUCUUUCGUCGGGGAAGAAAAUGACUGUACCCGAAUAAGAAGGUCCGGCUAACUUCGUGCCAGCAGCCGCGGUAAUACGAAGGGACCUAGCGUAGUUCGGAAUUACUGGGCUUAAAGAGUUCGUAGGUGGUUGAAAAAGUUAGUGGUGAAAUCCCAGAGCUUAACUCUGGAACUGCCAUUAAAACUUUUCAGCUAGAGUAUGAUAGAGGAAAGCAGAAUUUCUAGUGUAGAGGUGAAAUUCGUAGAUAUUAGAAAGAAUACCAAUUGCGAAGGCAGCUUUCUGGAUCAUUGCUGACACUGAGGAACGAAAGCAUGGGUAGCGAAGAGGAUUAGAUACCCUCGUAGUCCAUGCCGUAAACGAUGUGUGUUAGACGUUGGAAAUUUAUUUUCAGUGUCGCAGGGAAACCGAUAAACACACCGCCUGGGGAGUACGACCGCAAGGUUAAAACUCAAAUGAAUUGACGGGGACCCGCACAAGUAGUGGAGCAUGUGGUUUAAUUCGAAGAUACGCGCAGAACCUUACCAACACUUGACAUGUUCGUCGCGACUCUAAGAGAUUAGAGUUUUCGGUUCGGCCGGACGAAACACAGGUGCUGCAUGGCUGUCGUCAGCUCGUGUCGUGAGAUGUUGGGUUAAGUCCCGCAACGAGCGCAACCCUCACUUUUAGUUGCCAUCAUUAAGUUGGGCACUCUGAAAGAACUGCCAGUGAUAAGCUGGAGGAAGGUGGGGAUGACGUCAAGUCCUCAUGGCCCUUACGUGUUGGGCUACACACGUGCUACAAUGGUAUCUACAACAGGAAGCAAGACUGCGAAGUUAAGCAAAUCCCUAAAAGAUACCUCAGUUCGGAUUGCACUCUGCAACUCGAGUGCAUGAAGCUGGAAUUACUAGUAAUCGUGGAUCAGCGUGCCACGGUGAAUGCGUUCCCGGGUCUUGUACACACCGCCCGUCACACCAUGGGAGUUGGUUCUACCUUAAGGCAAGGUUUCAAACCCUUGACCACGGUAUAGUCAGCGACUGGGGUGAAGUCGUAACAAGGUAACC